CUUAAAGUGCUUCUACUCAGUGACAAGACAAGUGGGAGGGGAAAAAUCUUUAUUUAUGAAGAACCUGAGAUGAAGAAAAAAUUCAGUUGGUCAUCUUAUCAAAGCCUUUGUUCUGCAGAGAAAUAUUCAAGCAUAGCCAAUAUUUCUGUUCUUGAACAAACCUCAGAAAGGAGACCAUAAGCAACUGCUUGAUAACCCUAGUUUUCUUACUCUAAAUCAGAAAAUCCAAUAUAAAAUGUAUAGAUCAUCAUAUACAGCAGUGGAUAAACUAUGUUUGGCAUAUCACAAAUUGUUAGACCAUUUUAGAUAAAACAGACUGCAGUCCAUUCAAUUGCUAUUGCUGCACAAUGUUUUGAGAUUUUUCUUGCCAUUCGUAGCUCUAUGAUCUCACUACUCAAGAGCACCUCUAGUGGUAUCAGAAGGGAUCAAAAGAGGCAACCAAUGAAAAGGAAACCAAUCCAACCCUGUGCUGUUUGGAGGAAAUUUCCUUAAAUAAAAAAUUGGGAUCAACCAGGAUCCAUCUAAGUCAUUUGCAUAUACAGAACAGAGAUCCUUACAGUACUCUCCCUUUCAAUAACACUAUCUUUUGCACUUUCUCUUGGAAAAAUCUCUUGCACAUAUCCCACUGAAAGAGCACAGUAAAUUCUUAUUUUGGAUCCAAAAUUCACUUAUCUUUACCUUUACUUCACAACAUGUCUACAGUUUAGCUUAUUUUCACCCCUUUGGUAGUUGUUCCCAAAUUGUGAAAAGUCUAACAUCAACACAGCAAUAAAUCCAUACACUCAAUUCUAUGAGGAACCACUGAAAUUCCAAGGACCCAGACCACCAUUAAGGAAGGGUACAGAUUCAACUUGGGCGAUUAAGUUCAAAACUAUUAUCAAAGAGCACCGAACAAUCCAUAAUUAUUAUAUUUUUAUUCAUUAAUAUUCACUAACGAGCAUCAUUUGGAUUUUCUACUUAAAACACCAAAACAUAUUUUGUUAAUUCUACUUCUUCCCUUGUUUUCCUUUAAUUUUUACCAAAUCCCUGUUUUUCUCUCUACCAUUCUCUAAAUUUUGCUGCAACAUGGAAGUUUUUAUCAGAAAGGCAGAAGAGCAACAAGAAAAUACAUAAAGAGAAACAGAUCAUCAAGCAGAUUUGAUUACCAUGCACAAUGCAUUCUAUCUAGAUAUACAUACACAUAGCAAAAAAGAUAAAAUAUACAACCAUUUUAAAGAUGGAUAUACCAACUGACAGAUAUAACCUGGUAGAUUUACUCUCCAGAUUCCCCCACUCAGGUUUGUUAAAAUAUUCUUAUUUUAUCUGGCAAAUGAAGGAGCUCAAGGAACCAGGGGUGGAGACACUGAUUUCUUCUGAAGCAAUGUGGAUUCUUCCUUGUGAUUUUGUGGAGGUGACCUUUCCAAAAGUCAGUAGACAAUGGGAAUCAUCACAUCAGUCUACCCUGGAUGGAACUUUUUGACUGUAUAGUUUAUUAAAGAAAAGUAUAGACUCAGAGCCAGGAAACUCGGAGCUCAAAUUUAACCUCAGCCAUUCAUUCAUUUAUGAAAUGAUCUUUACCUUCUACAUGUAAUAGGCAAUUUAAAAUUAAACUGGCCUGCUCCUCUGGGCUGCAACUAAACAUGCUAUAUUAUAUGCUAAGUAAUCAUGCUAAGUAUUCAGAAUUGAGAAGACAUCUGCUAGGCUUUCGAAAGACAUGAAAAGGAAAGAAACAGUACAAAAAUAGCUUUAGAGAGAAGUGGGUGCACUUUGAUUCUAGUCAGAGUCUCUUCUAUGAAACCAGAAACCUUUCUGGAAGAGAGACUGAGAGGCCACCCAACCCUCAUUCAAAGGAAACCUCCUUCUUAGAGAACAACACAUAUGCAUUGGGUCUCUUCUAUUUCAUCCUAUACUCCCCGUUAAGGAAGGGUUUUACAAGUUCCAUGAAGAGAUUUGUGAGCCAUCAGACCUCCCUUUUCUCCUGCCAUCUAUGAGUGAGGCUGUUAGACCAACAUCUUUAGAAAAGGUAUUCUAAGGGUAGGAUUCCUGGUCCUACGGAACUACACGGCCUCCAAGAGCAGAGGGCUUCAGACAUCUGACACGUUUAUAGCACCGAGCAGGUUCUACAGAGCCAGGAGUUUCUCUUGACUGUUCUAGUAAACAGAUGGAAGGUGACUUGUUUUGUGAGGCCCAAGAUAGGUAGGAAUGGACUUGUUUCUGCAGGGCUCCCUAGAGUUGGCCACCUCUGUUAUAGGAAGCUGUUCGGGACAUAUUCUUCUCGGAUUUUCCAAGAUCUCCCGUGUCUUCCGCAGAGCGCUUUAUGUGGACAAGGAGGUCGUAUUUCUCCCAGAUACAGGGAGACAUCUGCGCGAGUGUCGCCGUGCGAAUGCCUUUAUAGGACGACCUGAAGGGGGUCAAACCUUCUCACCGCUUUCCUCCAAUUUCUUCUCCCCUCCCAAUCCCCAGUACAAAGGAAUGGGAGAUGCCUGGAGCUUUUUUUGGCAAGGCAAGACUCAGGAGCAACAGAAUCUGGGAGGAAAAAAUUAAAAAAAGGAAGAGACGGAUUGGAUCCCGUAGGAACUGGAUUCAUGAGCAAAUUCGUGAUUUUUUAAAAAUCCAGGCAAAGAGGAAGCAACGAAUACAGCCGUUGUUGAAGUAACUAUGGCUGGCACAAAAGGGUGAAGAGACUGGAUAUCUUGAACUAAUUCAGCUAUUAAUUUAGAAUGCAUUUUUGUAUCUUUUUUGAUCCCGGUAACUAUUAAGAUUUGAUGGUAAUAGUUUUUAAGUGUGCCAAAGGAGUGUGGACACUUUUACACUGGCAAGCACUUCUACAGACACAUUUAAUUCACUUGCUUUCAGCAUUAGUUGACUUUGUUACCUUACGUGAAAAUUAAACUUUCUUUUUUCCCGAGUUUUUGGGAUUACAAUCACUUCCUCUUGUUCCAUGCAAAAAGUAUACUAUCUGAAAACAAAUGUAUGCUUUCAUGAAAGAAAGGCCCAACUACCUCCACUACUUCUUGGGGCAGUAUAUAGCGUAGGAUACUGUGCAUUUCCCAAAUCUGGCUGCUUUUUACCUGUGCAAAGGGAAUGGAAUCCUCUAUUCUGUGGCAAAAUUCUGCUAAUCAAAGACACAGAUACAUCAUGAGGAAGUCAGCAUCACAGGAAAGAAUGAUCAUCUGUAGCAGUAACCCUGCUUAUGUAUCAACAUGAUUUUAGUUAUAUCGGAUUUAUGGUCAAUGCCUGUAAGAAAGUUUUGAUUUAAUAAUUCCUUAUAUUCAUCAGUGUGGAGUAAGAACUGGUACUAGUUGGUCCACUGUUCUGAUUCUUUAAUUCAUAGUCUUAAUUAAGAAAUUUGCCCCCAUCCUUCAGCCAUUUCAGUCAAUUACAUAGCACUUCAAGUGCAGGCACAACUCUAGAUGACUCAAAACUAAAUAAUUACAAUUAAAACAAUAAAGCUCUCUCCCAAAGAUAAUAAAAAAUAAAUUAGUAAACAUCUACAUUAGUAACAACAACAUGACCAUUUAUGAAACCAUACUUUGAGUUCCACACAGUAAAUAUCAAUAAUACUUAAUCAAAUUUCACUUGACAGCCAUAAAAAAAGAGCUAGCAGGGGAAAGAGUGAUAUUUUUGACAAGGUGAAUGAUCAAAAGAAAUAGCUAUGAGAAAUAUUUUCAGGAGGAGGAUUUGGCACAACAAAUAAUUAAUAAACAUAACUUAUUUUUCAAAAACAUGACCACCUAUAAAAGCUAGCAUAAGAAGGUAGAAGUUCUCUUAAGUAUGGCAUAAAGAAUGCAAUUAAUUAAGGAGAAAUAUGUUAUAUUUUAGGUUAGAAUUAGUGAAGAAGGGACAUUAAACAUGUCAUUAAUGGAAAACCAGCAAAUCUUAAAGCUGUCAACUAGAUUGAAAAAAAUCCUUGUUCUUUUGGGGAGUGGAAAACUCGACCUUCAUUAGAACUUCAAAGAACAACCAUAGUGUUUAAAUGUUUCCCAUUUAAACUGCAAAGGGAGUCAGUUUAUGGCACUAGUUAUUUGCCAUUUCUAUCACCACUGACUGCACUACAGGUUUUCCAUUUUUCUAUUGACAAGGAAUUUAGCAUAGCUAUACCUUUUAAUAGUUUCACCACUCACAAAUGAGUGCCACAUAUAUCAUUCAAUGAUCUUGAGAUCAGUAUCAUGUGGCUGUAGUUCUUAUGGCUAUUUGUGCAGUACACUGCAGAUACCUAUGUCAUCUUUGUCAUUUUGCCUUCUAUUCCAUUCUGGCCCUGGCAACAUUAAGUGCCAUGAUGAUGUUAUUAAAGGUAAAGGUAAAGGUUUCCCUCGCACAUAUGUGCUAGUCGUUGCCGACUCUAGGGGGCGGUGCUCAUCUCCGUUUCAAAGCCGAAGAGCCAGCGCUGUCCGAAGAUGUCUCCGUGGUCAUGUGGCCAGCAUGACUCAACACCAAAGGCGCACGGAACGCUGUUACCUUCCCACCAAAGGUGGUCCCUAUUUUUUCUACUUGCAUUUUUACGUGCUUUCGAAACUACUAGGUUGGCAGAAGCUGGGACAAGUAACAGGAGCUCACCCCGUUACACGGCAGCACUAGGGAUUUGAAGCGCUGAGCUGCCGACCUUUCAAUCGACAAGCUCAACGUCCUAGCCCCUGAGCCACUGUGUCCCUUUAUGAUGUUAUUAUAGAUGGGAUAAUAAUAAUAGCACGUUCUCUAUUGGCUAUCUUCCUACUUCAGGAUUCUGCUACCAUCAGGUCAGAAGGGGAGUGCCAAAAGCAGUGACAUUCUCUUGCAAUAUUAAUCAAGAAUGGAGGGUCUUCGUUAUCAGUUACUUCCUCUGUUUCAGUCUGUGCCCCCAUGCCUGCAUCUAUCAGCUCAACUAUUUGUGAAUAUGGGUUUACCUUCUUUCAGAAAAAUACCACUCAUAUUCAGAAAUGGUUUGAUUGAUAAGUUAUUGUCACAGAGUAAUUUGUGAGGAGCAUCUGGAGAGCCGCCUCCUCCUUCUGCUUUACUACAUGUUCUACCUUAGCACCUUUCAUCAACAGACAACUUGACAGGAGACUAGACAGGCUGUUCCUAGGACCCCUGUAGUUAUUCUAUUGAGAACCAACUUAUAUCAGGGACAGUGGUUGGUGGUUGAUCUUUUCCACCAGCAAACAAGCUUGGUGGGCAGGAGAAAAAUGCCAGGGCCUUUCCUUGGUCCACAUUAAAUAAGGACAGUAUUUGUCAGCCUCACUGCUAUGGCAAAAUAAUGCUAUUUUUACAGUAGCCCUAGGAAUAAGAGUUAAAUCCCAUUUCACAAAUAAAGAAUUAAGGCUGAUACUGCCUGUCUUGCACAUUUGUACCUUACUUGCACCUAAAAACAAGACAAACAUGAUCUGCCAAAUCUCUUUUUUCUGCCAUGUGCCCAUGAGACGCUAUCUUCAUCUCACUCCCCAACCUGUAUAUAAAUUCUCAUUAGCUGUUCCAGCAUUAUUAAACUGGUAGUUUCCCCUCAAACUGGCAGCAAGCCACAAUACUUCCAAGGUAUGCAAAAUCUGAUGCAGUUUGUUGUUAGCAACUGAGCUCUGAUCAGCAAUUUCAGGCUAAGUCAGAACAUACUCCCCCACCCCGUCCUUGGGUCAUAAUGUUUUGGAAGUUGGACGGUCUGUCUCUCAGAGUCCAUAUUUCAGUUGUCUAGUGAAUCUCGGUAGGUAACAGGUUGGAAAGCAACAGUGUCUCUCACUGUAUCCAUUACUUCCUGUAUCCAUUACUUCCUGUACCUCAAGGAUCAGCUACCUCUCAGCCCCUGGGUGGUGGCAGGUUGGGAAGAACCACUCUUCCAUGGACAGCCUAUUAUACUGGGCAGGCCAAACAGUGUAGUUGUAUUUGAAAGUGCUGCACAAAUGUUCAAAAUGAAUUCUGAAUCAUGUAAAUCAAAUAUUGUGAUGUAGACAUAUAUUAAUAACAUGGCUUACAAUCUAUCUGAAUCCAUAACUUUUAUAACUGCUAAAUCAUGAACAGUGGAAGUAGUUCAGGGGGUAAACUAAAACCCUUUCCCCAUAGCACAGUUAAAAUGCUAUUUACCUGUACUUGAUCUGGCAGAACCUGUUCUCAUUGUAAAAUGUCCUAUCUGCUUCUCAUCUUAUUCUAUCCUUAAAGCCUCUAUCUUUGCUUGCCAUUGGAGAAAAUCCUGAUAUGGAUAUGCAGCCCAUUUUAAGUAAAACUAUUCCCUUAAUCCUCAGCCUUUACCCCUGUUCACUUUGCUCAAUAUCACUAGCCAAGAGGAAACCAUCUCCCAAACUCAGCACUUUUGACAUAUGGCUAGUAUUUUCAAUAUCUCUCUAAUGAUCUUUCUGCAUCUCUCUCUGGUGUUUUUUGUAUCUCUCUAGUGAUAAUCUGGAAUUUUGCAGCCCACGUUUGCUAGCCCCUCAAAAGGGCUAUACAUAUAGAAAAAUGAAAUGGCAGAAUCUCAGUUUAAGAAGAUUGUGUGCCAACUGAGAUAGCAUUGCAAUUACUGAGUGCUAUUGCAGUUAACCAAUAUAAUCAAAGAGACAUUUUGGUAAGUAAAAUAAAUGAUGUAUCCCAGAAAAACAACUUGAUUUUUGCUGUCCUUUGUGAAAUUUAUUUAAUAUGUUAUUUCAAUUUGAAUGGAUGCAAUUGAAACUUCAAAAUUCAGCCAUUUCAGUAUGAUGUACAUUUAGGCAGAGUACAUUUAGCUAGAGAUAAAAUGAAAAUAGUUGUAUCUAUUUGUGCCAUUGUAAUUUUUCACAUAUACAGUAUAUUUAUAUUAUAUGUAUAUAAUAUAUAAUAUCUACAUAAUCAUUAUUUCCAUGCGAGAAAUACGCUUUAAGCUCUUCUCAUUCUUGUAUGGUAAUAUUUCUCCUGUUGCAAUUUACAUACAUUAAACCGGAUCAUAAUCUAGCAUAGUAGGUUGCAACCUAGUAUGGAAACAAUUUUGUAUCAUUUACAUCACUAUCUGAGUCCAUGCAUCCUAAGAUUUCUGAUGGCCCAAAGGUCCACAGUCUCUUCUCCUCUACUUAAAACCUAAAAUUAAAUACAUUUUAGUUACGAAACUGUUUGUCAAACCCCUUAUUGGGCUUUUCAUGAUUAUCUCUUUUAGACAACAAAUGUACAAUUGUUAAUUAUUUGUUAUGUCAAAAUGUAACAUCCUCCUCCAGAAAGAAAUUCUGAUAGCUAUGGGGUUUUUUUUUGUCAUUCACCUUUAGUACAUGAAUGGUUUUGACACUGCCUUUUUCAGGAAUGUUUUCUCAAUUUCCCAAUGUAAUUGAUAGCUUUCAGAUUUGCUGGUCUUCCAAGGACUAAUCAGAUCUGACACCGUUUAGCUUUUCCAGGAUCAGUCGAGGUCAGCAAGGUGGAAUACCUGCUGU